AAGAAAGCUGGAGAAGCAGAAGGUGAAAUGGAGGACGAGGGGAAGAAAGAGGUGGAAGCUGUGGUAGAAGAUGAGCGCAUAGAGGAUGCUAAACUUCCCCCUGCGGAGAAGCCAGAUUCUGAAUCUGAGGAAUUUCACAGUGCUGAUGACGGCAAUCAGGACAAGUCGGAACAUGCAGAAGCUGAAAUGGAGGACAAGAAGAAGAAAGAGGUGGAAGCUACGGAAGAGGAUGAGUGCUUAAAAGGUGCUGAACUACCCUCUGGGGACAAGCCAGAGCCUGAAUCUGAGGAAGUUCACAGUGCUGAUGUUGGUAAACAGAACAAGUCAGAAAAUGCAGAUAUUGAGGAAAAACAAGUAUCUGAGGAAAAGCUGGUGUCUCAAAACAAACCAGAAGAACUCGCUGCAGAAGGGACCAAUGUCACCAUUGGAGGAAGUGCCAACCAAGCAGAACAUGCUGUUGACGGGGUAUCUAAGGAUGCCCACAGCAAUGAUAGUGAAGAUAGGCCAAAAGAGGAGAAAGAAAC
rnacentral:lncRNA from 1 species